AUGCACUCCGUCUCCAUCUCCGCCUCGGCCUCGGCCUCGGCGAUCGCCAGCGGAGGCGCCAGAUCCAAGGCGGCGGCGGGGCGCCGGCCCAGCGAGAUCCGGUUCUGCGGGCUACGGGGCGAUGCUCUCGCGUGCGGCUCGCUGCGGGCCUCUCACGCCGCGGCGGCCACCAGCCGCGCGGUGCUGAGGGCGGCGUCCGCGAACGGCGCGGCGGGGAGCGGCGACGGGUUCGAUUACGACCUCGUAAUCAUCGGAGCCGGCGUCGGUGGGCACGGCGCCGCGCUCCACGCCGUGGAGGAGGGGUUGAAAACCGCCAUUAUCGAGGGAGAUGUUGUGGGUGGGACCUGUGUGAACAGGGGCUGUGUUCCGUCCAAAGCACUUCUUGCUGUCAGUGGUCGGAUGAGAGAGCUUCAUGAUGAACAUCACAUGAAGUCCCUGGGUCUACAGGUUUCUUCAACUGGAUAUGACAGACAAGCUGUUGCUGAUCAUGCAAAUAAUCUUGCCUCCAAAAUCAGAAGCAACUUGACUAAUUCAAUGAAGGCUAUGGGAGUGGAUAUAUUAACUGGGUUUGGCAAAAUUGUGGGAAAGCAAAGGGUACGAUACGGAAAAGUUGGUUUUCCAGAAAAAGAAAUCACUGCAAAGAACAUCAUCAUUGCCACUGGAUCAGUUCCUUUUGUUCCCAAGGGCAUAGAAAUUGACGGCAAGACUGUAUUUACUAGUGACCAUGCAUUAAAACUUGAAUCCGUUCCGGACUGGAUAGCUAUUGUUGGAAGUGGUUAUAUUGGACUUGAAUUCAGCGAUGUGUACACAGCUCUAGGAAGCGAGGUUACCUUUGUUGAAGCUCUUGACCAGCUGAUGCCUGGUUUUGAUCCUGAAAUCGCAAAAUUGGCCCAGAGAGUCCUUAUCAAUACAAGGAAAAUUGACUAUCACACUGGUGUUUUUGCAAGCAAGAUUACUCCGGCAAAGGAUGGAAAGCCUGUGUUGAUUGAGCUCAUUGAUGCCAAAACGAAGGAACACAAAGAAACACUUGAGGUGGACGCAGCCCUUAUAGCCACUGGAAGAGCACCAUUUACCAGCGGACUUGGCUUGGAAAAUAUUAAUGUUGUUACACAGCGUGGUUUUAUUCCUGUUGAUGAGCGGAUGCAAGUCACGGAUGCUGAUGGCAAUGUGGUGCCGAAUUUAUUUUGCAUUGGAGAUGCGAAUGGUAAACUCAUGCUUGCCCAUGCUGCCAGUGCACAGGGAAUCUCAGUCGUUGAGCAAAUCUCUGGGAGGGACCACAUUCUAAACCAUUUAAGCAUCCCAGCUGCUUGUUUCACUCAUCCAGAAAUCAGUAUGGUUGGGCUGACAGAGCCGCAAGCCAGAGAAAAGGCUGAUAACGAAGGAUUUGAAGUAAGUGUUGUUAAGACCAGCUUUAAGGCCAACACAAAAGCUUUGGCAGAAAAUGAAGGCGACGGAAUUGCUAAGAUGAUCUACCGACCUGACACGGGAGAAAUUCUUGGUGUUCACAUCUUGGGUUUGCAUGCUGCUGACCUCAUCCACGAGGCAUCAAAUGCCAUUGCCCUAGGAACUCGUUUGCAAGAACUUAAGCUUGCUGUUCAUGCACACCCAACGUUGUCCGAAGUCCUCGACGAACUCUUCAAAGCGGCCAAGUUGCAGCCUAAAGACGGCAGGAGCGCGAGCCAAAUCAUCCACCCCAGCCGCUCUUGA
rnacentral:rRNA from 1 species